UUUGGGAAAUGAUGCCAUAGAUUCAAACAGAAGCGCCAGCUCUGCCGAAUUAUUUUUUGCACGUCAGUCUGAUCCCAAA